rnacentral:rRNA from 1 species
AGGACUUGCUCGGAUGUUAGCGGCGGACGGGUGAGUAACACGUGGGUAACCUGCCUGUAAGACUGGGAUAACUCCGGGAAACCGGAGCUAAUACCGGAUAGUUCCUUGAACCGCAUGGGUUCAAGGAUGAAAGACGGUUUCGGCUGUCACUUACAGAUGGACCCGCGGCGCAUUAGCUAGUUGGUGAGGUAACGGCUCACCAAGGCGACGAUGCGUAGCCGACCUGAGAGGGUGAUCGGCCACACUGGGACUGAGACACGGCCCAGACUCCUACGGGAGGCAGCAGUAGGGAAUCUUCCGCAAUGGACGAAAGUCUGACGGAGCAACGCCGCGUGAGUGAUGAAGGUUUUCGGAUCGUAAAGCUCUGUUGUUAGGGAAGAACAAGUGCAAGAGUAACUGCUUGCACCUUGACGGUACCUAACCAGAAAGCCACGGCUAACUACGUGCCAGCAGCCGCGGUAAUACGUAGGUGGCAAGCGUUGUCCGGAAUUAUUGGGCGUAAAGGGCUCGCAGGCGGUUUCUUAAGUCUGAUGUGAAAGCCCCCGGCUCAACCGGGGAGGGUCAUUGGAAACUGGGAAACUUGAGUGCAGAAGAGGAGAGUGGAAUUCCACGUGUAGCGGUGAAAUGCGUAGAGAUGUGGAGGAACACCAGUGGCGAAGGCGACUCUCUGGUCUGUAACUGACGCUGAGGAGCGAAAGCGUGGGGAGCGAACAGGAUUAGAUACCCUGGUAGUCCACGCCGUAAACGAUGAGUGCUAAGUGUUAGGGGGUUUCCGCCCCUUAGUGCUGCAGCUAACGCAUUAAGCACUCCGCCUGGGGAGUACGGUCGCAAGACUGAAACUCAAAGGAAUUGACGGGGGCCCGCACAAGCGGUGGAGCAUGUGGUUUAAUUCGAAGCAACGCGAAGAACCUUACCAGGUCUUGACAUCCUCUGACAACCCUAGAGAUAGGGCUUUCCCUUCGGGGACAGAGUGACAGGUGGUGCAUGGUUGUCGUCAGCUCGUGUCGUGAGAUGUUGGGUUAAGUCCCGCAACGAGCGCAACCCUUGAUCUUAGUUGCCAGCAUUCAGUUGGGCACUCUAAGGUGACUGCCGGUGACAAACCGGAGGAAGGUGGGGAUGACGUCAAAUCAUCAUGCCCCUUAUGACCUGGGCUACACACGUGCUACAAUGGACAGAACAAAGGGCUGCGAGACCGCAAGGUUUAGCCAAUCCCACAAAUCUGUUCUCAGUUCGGAUCGCAGUCUGCAACUCGACUGCGUGAAGCUGGAAUCGCUAGUAA